ACGUUUUGAACAGAAGCACAGUCAGAACGGGAGCGAAGACGGUUUGGAUUCCAAAAGUUCAUGGAGGUGCAGUCACUCAAAGCGGAGCGGCGGAUGCGGCAACAUCAAGCGGAGGAGACAAGCUCAAGAUGGAGCUUGCAUGGUAAGCUCGAUAUAGCGAUUGAAGACUGAAAAUCUAACCGCGGUGGAGAAUGUUAGGAUUUGAUUAGAUUUGUAGUUGAAUCCUAAUUGGAUUAGGAUAAUAUUUAAAUCUGUUGGAAAUAAAUUAAGAUUUAAAUAUUAAUUAGAAUAGAAAUCUAAUUGGAUUAGGAUUUGGGUAGCUUUUGAUGUAAGCUAUAAAUAUAGCAUAUGUACUAUUAUUGUG
rnacentral:lncRNA from 1 species